AAGAGCUGGAGGGCCAAGUUUGGCCAUGCCUGAGCGAAAGUCAGCGCCGUCAACAUCGCUUGGGGAUCAUUAUAGGAUGGGGAAAGGGUGUGUGUGUAAAAAAAAUUAAUUCUCAACACUGGUGGAAGCUGGAAACGGUAGGAUAGGAAGCGUGGGCUCUCGGCUGUGUGUCUUGCGGGGCUAGAUGCAGCGGGAGGUGGCUGGGGAAGUUACUCUUGCUUCCACGGAGAACUCAACAGGCUACGACCGGAGAGGAGCGAAGGGCGGUCCCAACGGCCCGAAGCGCCGGUUGCCGGAAGGAAGCAUUUUCACGUCGCACCAGCCGCUGUGGUUUCUAAGGAAACGGGGUCUUCGCCGUUGCCGAGAUUGAGCCGUUUCUUGGAACCUGCUGGGUUCAAUGAUGCCGCAUACAGAGGAAGAGUUGAAUGACCUCCUUAUUUGUAAAGAAAAAGAACUGAAAGAGCUCCAAGCUCAUCAAAUCCAUUUUCAGAAAACAUCACUGCAUGAAACCAGAAAGCAGCUUCAAGAAAUGCACAGGAAAUUCAACAGUUUAAAGGAAGAUUUCACCUAUAACCUUAGAGUCUUAGAGGAGAGAGAUAGAGAGCUGGAACGCUACGAACGCUUGUUUAUACAGUUGAAAAUGGUUGAAAAUGCUAAAGAGGCAGAGGUUAGUGAUCUUAGAAUACAAGUGGAUAAGCUGCAGCAAACACUUGCCAAGGAAACAAAAAAGCAAGAGUCUCUGCAAUACCAAUACCAUCAAAAGCUUAAAGAACACCAGUUAGAGUUGGAGCGGCUUCACAGUUCUAAGGACUCUGAUAUCAACCAGCAUCUUCAGGAAUAUGGGGAUAUGAAGCAGCAACUGGAGAGAAAACUGCAGGAAGUAGAAUGUGAACUUGCUUUGCAAAGACAGGAACUGCUAGUGGAAUUUGAUUCAGAAAUGAAAAAAAGAGAGCAUGAGUUUCGACGGAAAGUGGAUGAAAUGAGCAAUUUAGUUCUAUCUCAUGAGCUUAAGGUGAAGCUGUUGACCAAAGAAUUGGAGGCUUUGAAAGAGGCUGGGACAGAAGUGGCAGAAUCCUUGAAAAUGGCAGAAGCAAGAAACUUGGAGUUGGAGAAAGAAGUCAAAUGCAGGGAUUGGGAAAUAAAGGAUCUUGCAGCUGUGAAAGAUGCUCAGAUACGGGAUUUAGAAAGAAAAAUCGAUUCAGUACAGCUGAGCUGGAAAAAAGAAAAAGAAACAUUUGAGAGAAAGCACGCAGCUAUAGAUCACUUUGCCAGGGAAAAGGAUGCAUUACUUGCUUCAAUAAAGGAGACCCAUACUGAGCAGAUACGGAAGUGGGAAAAUCAGGUCCGAGACCUGCAAAUAAAUAAGGAAACUUUGGAAAUGGAACUGCGUCAGGCAGAAUGGAGGCAUACAGAUGAGUUGAGAGAGAAAGAGGCUGUCAUUGAAAAACUUCAACAAGAGCUGGAGGCUUUAAAAAAAAGCUGGGAUUCUCAAGUAGCUCAGAUAUCCAGGGAGACAGUUUCAAAAGACCUUCAGAUUCAAGCACUGCAACAAGAAGAGGUGAAGCUAAGAGCACAACUGUCUAGCAUACUGCAAGAUAUUGAAAGGUAUAAACAGCAGCUCUCAUUAGCAGCUGAGAGAGAAGAGAUUCUGGAAAGGGCUAAAGUGCAAAUAGUCCUGGACUGGCAGCGGCGUUACGAGAAUGCUGAAAGGAAUCAAUAUCAGAAAUCAGAGGCUCUAAUACAGAGCCUGUCAACAGCUAGGGACCAGGUUACUGCUGAACUACAGGAGAAGGAACAGAAAUUGCAUGAAAUGGAAAUGGUCCUUUCUGCUGUAACACUUGAGAGGGACCAAGCCGUUCAGGAACUUCGAAAGCAUGGUCACACGCCAAAAGGAGUGAAACAGGAUACUGUAGGAACCACUGAGCUAGGUUUUCCUUCUGCUGAUAUGAAGAGGUUACAAGAGCAAAACAGUACCUUGCGAUCUGUUAUUGCAGAAAUGAGGAGAGAAAUGGAGACCCUUAAUAUUCAGGCACUUUCAUCUGACCAAAGCAAAAUGGAAGCACAAGAUGCUGACUAUGUUCAAUCCUUGGAAGAGGAGAUCAGAGUAUUGAAGAAAAAAUGUGAAGACAUGGACAAACAACAUGAAGAUGCACCUGAAGUUCAUGGAAAGUUAUCUGUAUCUUCUCUGAAAUCAUCCAGUUGUGAUAAAAAUACUCAGACUUCCUACCACAUUACCAUUGGACAAGACAGUACAUUGCAUCCAGAUGAAGUUACUACCAAGAAUUCUUUGGAAAGGCAAAGCAUAAAGAAAAAUCCUCAGAUGGAUUCAGUGAGAACACAAGAAACACAAGUGAAUUCAGUGACCAGGAAGCUUCAGGGAGAUUCUGUACAUCUCAGGCAACAGUUAUUUGGCGUGGAGGCUGGUGAUGGACCCCAUCAACUUAUAGGAAAUCAUGCACAAGUGAGACAAGGUAGAUUGAAGGAAGCUGUGAGAAAGAUCUGCAGUUUGAGCAAAGAGAAGCAUCAGCUACUAGAGAUGGUAAACAGACUAAGAGCAGAACUUGGAGCAGCUUCAAAGGAAGGAUUUCUAGGCUCUCAGGACUUCAAGAUUUCAAAGCAGCCUCAGGAUCACACUUCAUCUUGUGCCCUACAUCCUAAAGAACUUGUCAGGGAGACUAAGCACCAUCUUCUGGCUUUAGAGCACCUCCAGUACCAGCUUACGACACAGGAGUUACAGUAUGCGCAGAGAAAGCAUGCCCCAGGAAAGUGUCCUUAUUUUGUUGAGAACUUAAAUACCGAAUAUCUCCCGAGAAGCAGCAGCUGUAGUGAAGAAGCAGAAAUCCCUAUGAAACAGGUUCAGUCAGAAUCAAUUGUUGGAAAUCGUGUUGCAGAUUCCCCAAGGCAUGAAACCUUAGUUCCACACCAGUCUCAACUACUUACAAAAGAAAGUCCCAGCCAACUCCAGCAAGGCCUGUUGUCAUCAUCUGGUACUGCUGGCUCCCUGGAGGAAAUCUGGCAGAUUCUAGAGAUGGGAUCAAGCCCUUCUAUUCUCAGCCCCCAAAGCAACAAAGAGCAAGAAUGCGGAGGUCCAGGCUGGGGAAAUAUCUCUGCCCUCCCUUGCAAGAGGAAACAGAUGGACUGUUGUUGAGCCAGUUCUGAACUAAAUAUUUCUUUUGCUCUGCAGCUGUUGUCUAGUACCCAAGAUCCCCCCUCCCCAAUAGGAACAGAGCUACAGUUUGCUGAAGAAAACAUUGGUAUAACACCCUAUUCCCCAGAACAGUCAUAUAACUUAGAACACAGGGAAGACAGCUCUCCAGCACAUUCUUGUUUGGGCCAACUUUCAACAGCUGGCGUUUAGCAGUGUAAAAGGGAUUUUAGUUGGUGUGAUUAUAGAUGUGAACAAAGAGACUUUACCUAGAAAAGAUUAUUUGCAUGUACUUCUCACGAACAGCAGCACUGAGUUGACACGGAUUUUGAUCAUCUCCUGAGUUUUAAAAGUAGCUCAAAGAGCUGCUGUUAGAAGAAGAAAGGCUGAAAAGUGACUACAAACCAAAUGUUUUCCAGCUCCUUCUCUUGCCUUAUUUGUUAGACUAUGAUUUACCUUAUCCGUUGAUAAAAUUACCGCAUUCUUGACAGAAUUACCGAGAAAUCCCAGGUUAUCCAUGAACCACAAAGACUUGAAGACUCUCAGGAAGAAGCCCACACAUACACAGAAAGAGUACCAGCAG